GACGAACGCUGGCGGCGUGCUUAACACAUGCAAGUCGAACGGGAAGGCCCUGCUUUUGUGGGGUGCUCGAGUGGCGAACGGGUGAGUAACACGUGAGUAACCUGCCCUUGACUUUGGGAUAACUUCAGGAAACUGGGGCUAAUACCGGAUAGGAGCUCCUGCUGCAUGGUGGGGGUUGGAAAGUUUCGGCGGUUGGGGAUGGACUCGCGGCUUAUCAGCUUGUUGGUGGGGUAGUGUCUUACCAAGGCUUUGACGGGUAGCCGGCCUGAGAGGGUGACCGGCAACAUUGGGACUGAGAUACGGCCCAGACUCCUACGGGAGGCAGCAGUGGGGGAUAUUGCACAAUGGGCGGAAGCCUGAUGCAGCAACGCCGCGUGCGGGAUGACGGCCUUCGGGUUGUAAACCGCUUUCGCCUGUGACGAAGCGUGAGUGACGGUAAUGGGUAAAGAAGCACCGGCUAACUACGUG
rnacentral:rRNA from 1 species